rnacentral:rRNA from 1 species
AUGCAAGUCGAGCGGACAGAUGGGAGCUUGCUCCCUGAUGUUAGCGGCGGACGGGUGAGUAACACGUGGGUAACCUGCCUGUAAGACUGGGAUAACUCCGGGAAACCGGGGCUAAUACCGGAUGCUUAAUUGAACCGCAUGGUUCAAUUAUAAAAGGUGGCUUUUAGCUACCACUUACAGAUGGACCCGCGGCGCAUUAGCUAGUUGGUGAGGUAACGGCUCACCAAGGCAACGAUGCGUAGCCAACCUGAGAGGGUGAUCGGCCACACUGGGACUGAAACACGGCCCAAACUCCUACGGGAGGCAGCAGUAGGGAAUCUUCCGCAAUGGACAAAAGUCUGACGGACCAACGCCGCGUGAGUGAUGAAGGUUUUCGGAUCGUAAAACUCUGUUGUUAGGGAAAAACAAGUACCGUUCGAAUAGGGCGGUACCUUGACGGUACCUAACCAGAAAGCCACGGCUAACUACGUGCCAGCAGC